rnacentral:rRNA from 1 species
CCUGCGGAAGGAUCAUUACCUAGAGUUUGUGGGCUUUGCCUGCUAUCUCUUACCCAUGUCUUUUGAGUACUUACGUUUCCUCGGCGGGUCCGCCCGCCGAUUGGACAAAAUUAAACCCUUUGCAGUUGCAAUCAGCGUCUGAAAAACAUAAUAGUUACAACUUUCAACAACGGAUCUCUUGGUUCUGGCAUCGAUGAAGAACGCAGCGAAAUGCGAUAAGUAGUGUGAAUUGCAGAAUUCAGUGAAUCAUCGAAUCUUUGAACGCACAUUGCGCCCCUUGGUAUUCCAUGGGGCAUGCCUGUUCGAGCGUCAUUUGUACCUUCAAGCUCUGCUUGGUGUUGGGUGUUUGUCUCGCCUUUGCGUGUAGACUCGCCUCAAAACAAUUGGCAGCCGGCGUAUUGAUUUCGGAGCGCAGUACAUCUCGCGCUUUGCACUCAUAACGACGACGUCCAAAAAGUACAUUUUUACACUCUUGACCUCGGAUC